AUUGAACGCUGGCGGCAGGCCUAACACAUGCAAGUCGAGCGGCAGAAGGGAGCUUGCUCCUGGAUUCAGCGGGGGACGGGUGAGUAAUGCCUAGGAACCUGCCAGGUAGUUGGGGAUAACGUGCGAAAGCGGGGGCUCAUACCGCAAACGUGCAGAGGGCGAACGGGGGGGAUCAUCGGACCUCACGCCAUUAGGUGAGCCUAGGUCGGAUUAGCUAGUUGGUGGGGUAAAGGCCUACCAAGGCGACGAUCCGUAACUGGUCUGAGAGGAUGAUCAGUCACACUGGAACUGAGACACGGUCCAGACUCCUACGGGAGGCAGCAGUGGGGAAUAUUGGACAAUGGGCGAAAGCCUGAUCCAGCCAUGCCGCGUGUGUGAAGAAGGUCUUCGGAUUGUAAAGCACUUUAAGUUGGGAGGAAGGGCAGUAAGUUAAUACCUUGCUGUUUUGACGUUACCAACAGAAUAAGCACCGGCUAACUUCGUG
rnacentral:rRNA from 1 species